GGUUGUAUAGCUCAGUGGUAGAGGGUGUGCUUCGCAUGCACGAGGUCCUGGGUUCAGUCCCCGUAUCUCCA
rnacentral:tRNA from 1 species